UUUGGGUCAAUCAGGUAGAUGUACGGCAAAUCCUGUCAGAUUCGAAAGAAAGCAGCAGUAACCAGUAAUUUUCUAGGUUGAUUGGCCCUUAAAA
rnacentral:SRP_RNA from 1 species